rnacentral:rRNA from 1 species
AUCAACUUUCGAUGGUAGGAUAGAGGCCUACCAUGGUUUUAACGGGUAACGGGGAAUUAGGGUUCGAUUCGGAGAGGGAGCCUGAGAAACGGCUACCACAUCCAAGGAAGGCAGCAGGCGCGCAAAUUACCCGAUCCCGAUACGGGGAGGUAGUGACAAUAAAUAACAAUACAGGGCUUUAUAGUCUUGUAAUUGGAAUGAGUACAAUUUAAAUCUCUUAACGAGGAACAAUUGGAGGGCAAGUCUGGUGCCAGCAGCCGCGGUAAUUCCAGCUCCAAUAGCGUAUAUUAAAGUUGUUGCAGUUAAAAAGCUCGUAGUUGAAUUUCGGGAUUGACGUGAUGGUCGUGCCUUAAGGGGUAUGAACUGUUGCUGUUGAUUUCUCACCUUCUGGAGAAACUUGAUGUCCUUAAUUGGGUGUCUUGCGGAUCCAGGACCUUUACCUUGAAAAAAUUAGAGUGUUUAAAGCAGGCAUUUUGCUCGAAUACAUUAGCAUGGAAUAAUAGAAUAGGACGGCAUGGUUCUAUUUUGUUGGUUUCUAGGAACACCGUAAUGAUUAAUAGGGAUAGUUGGGGGCAUUAGUAUUCAAUUGUCAGAGGUGAAAUUCUUGGAUUUAUUGAGGACUAACUACUGCGAAAGCAUUUGCCAAGGAUUUUUCAUUAAUCAAGAACGAAAGUUAGGGGAUCGAAGACGAUCAGAUACCGUCGUAGUCUUAACCAUAAACUAUGCCGACUAGGAAUCAGACGAUGUUAAUUUUUUAAUGACUCGUUUGGCACCUUACGGGAAACCAAAGUGUUUGGGUCC